CCAGCAAAAUCUGGAGAGCGGCGGCCACGCGUGGUGAUCAGCGGCCGUCCACCGAUGGGGCACGGCUGCGAGGUUCGCAGUCUCAACUCUCAGGUCCGAAGCGGCUUUCGGAAGGACAGAUGGGGCGGA
rnacentral:ncRNA from 2 species